GGCUCCAUGGUGUAGUGGUUAGCAUGUCUGCUUUACACACAGAAGGUCCUGGGUUCGUGUCCCAGGUGGAGCCU
rnacentral:tRNA from 1 species